UACGGAGGGUGCAAGCGUUAUCCGGAUUCACUGGGUUUAAAGGGAGCGUAGGUGGGUUGGUAAGUCAGUGGUGAAAUCCCCGAGCUUAACUUGGGAACUGCCAUUGAUACUAUCAGUCUUGAAUACCGUGGAGGUCAGCGGAAUAUGUCAUGUAGCGGUGAAAUGCUUAGAUAUGACAUAGAACACCAAUUGCGAAGGCAGCUGGCUACACGAUUAUUGACACUGAGGCUCGAAAGCGUGGGGAUCAAACAGG
rnacentral:rRNA from 1 species